UGUCUGUACGCAGCAAGAGCACGCUGGUACCCUACUGAACACAAUUACAAUAUAAUACUAGUACUACAUAGCAGCAGUACAUACUGCAGUACUACGUAGGAGUGUUGUCGGAGGGGUCGUUGAUGGGUCUUGGUCUCGAGACCGGUUUUGAGUCCACAUUUUGAAGGUCUCCGAAGUUGGAAUCAACUGCGUGUUUUUAAUCAGAUGAUGAGUAAAGGUUUUGGAGGAGUUUUUUGAUUGAGACAACGGAGGAGCACUCUCAGUACUCCUCCGUUGGGGUACCAAGACGUCUGAAAGGGUGCCAACAAGUUCAAGCUAUACACGUCGUUCGGUCAUUGGUCGAAAAAAUUGUCACUUCCGUGCAAAAGGGGGAUAAUAACAAACAAACACAGUACCCGCAAAGUAUGUCUGGACAACGGCGAAAGCUUAGUUUAUUGAAGAUAAUGCAGCACAAAGGUUUGCUGGACGUCCAUUGUUGCUCUUUGUUUAUUGUGUCGUGUUCUUCUUUCUCCUUGGAUUUCUUAGCAGGCUACACUGUGUCAGGCUGCUAUGAGGUCACGAUGUUUAAGUAGCUGCCGUGGCUAUCGCCAUCCGGCUUAAAUACCCACCUACCAUAAGGUUACCGUUGGCUGUGGAUACGCAAGCCAUGAAUGAGCUGGGCCAAACCGCACCUUCACUACUGGCCUAAGCGCAACCGCCGGAGGAAACGUGCCAUUAGAGACCACGACUGCUCUUACUUCAUUACCUGCCUGUGUAUUUUCUGGUUGAAUUAACUAACGAGGGAGAGAGCGCAAGUAGACGAGGGAGUGAGAACAAGGAGACAAUGUAGAGAACAUGAUUUACUUCUACCAAAAGAAGUGGUGAGAAAACCCUCAACAGAGUUUAAGAUCUGUAAAAUAACCUCUACAUGGACGGCUUGGACCACGUCAAAAUUCUAUCAUCCACUUGAACAAAGAAAUAAGGAAAUACAACCCCAAAACUUGCGGAAAAUCGAAUUGUGUCGUCAAAUCCGAAAUCGUACGCAAGGAACAUUUUCAGCUGACGAUUCACACUUCGUCGGGGUCCAGCGGUAUGUCAGUGGGUUUUUCUCCGUCCAAAUUCUGUG
ensembl:lncRNA